rnacentral:rRNA from 1 species
UACGUAGGCAGCGAGCGUUGUUCGGAAUUACUGGGCGUAAAGAGUGUGUAGGCGGUGCUCUAAGUUCGGUGUGAAAUCUCCCGCUUAACUGGGAGGGUGCGCCGGAAACUGGAGUGCUCGAACGUGGGAGAGGAAAGCGGAAUUCCUGGUGUAGCGGUGAAAUGCGUAGAUAUCAGGAGGAACACCUGCGGUGUAGACGGCUUUCUGGACCAUUGUUGACGCUGAGACACGAAAGCGUGGGUAGCAAACAGG